CAAUCCGCGGGGAGCUGUGUGAAGGGUGGGGAAACUUUGAAAAUUGGAUGCUGCAGACCCGUUUUCUUUUUAGCUGCAGCAGAAGGCAUGAGUAGCAGGAAACUAAGACGAGUGGGGUUAUCAGAAGAGCUGUGUGACCGUCUGAACAGAUAUCAGAUUGUUACCUGUCAGGAUUUUUUAUGUCUUUCCCCACUGGAGCUUAUGAAGAUGACUGGCCUUAGUUAUCAUGGUGUCCAUGAACUUCUCUGUACGGUCAGUAGGGCCUGUGCCCCACAAAUGCAAACUGUUUAUGGGAUGAAGACACAAAGGUGUGCUGCUCCCUCACCAGCAUUCUUAGCUACAACCCUUUCUGCACUAGAUGAAGCCCUGCGUGGUGGUGUGGCUUGUGGAUCCCUGACAGAGAUUACAGGGCCACCAGGUUGUGGAAAAACUCAGUUUUGUAUGAUGAUGAGCAUUUUGGCUACAUUGCCCACCAACAUGGGAGGAUUAGAAGGCGCUGUUGUGUACAUUGACACAGAGUCAGCAUUUAGUGCUGAAAGACUGGUUGAGAUUGCAGAAUCUCGUUUUCCUAGAUACUUUAACACUCAAGAAAAAUUACUUUUGACAAGCAGUAAAGUUCAUCUUUGUCGGGAGCUCAGCUGUGAUGAAGUUCUACAAAGGAUUGAAUCUUUGGAAGAAGAAAUUAUUUCAAAAGGAGUUAAACUUGUGAUUAUUGACUCCAUUGCUUCUGUAGUAAGAAAGGAGUUUGAUACACAACUUCAGGGCAACAUGAGAGAAAGAAACAAGUUCUUGGCAAGAGAAGCAGCCUCCUUGAAGUAUUUGGCAGAGGAAUUUUCAAUCCCAGUUAUCUUGACGAAUCAAAUUACAACCCAUCUGAGCGGAGCCCCAGCUUCUCAGGCAGACCUGGUGUCUCCAGCUGAUGAUUUGUCCCUGUCUGAAGGCACUUCUGGGUCCAGCUGUGUGACAGCUGCCCUAGGAAACACCUGGAGUCACAGUGUGAACACCCGGCUGAUUCUACAGUUCCUUGGUUCAGAGAGAAGACAGAUUCUCAUUGCCAAGUCCCCUCUGGCUCCCUUCACCUCCUUUGUCUACACCAUCAAGAAGGAAGGCUUGGUUCUUCAAGAUUCAAAUUCCUCAGCCCUUCCUACAAUAGAUCCUUAUGGAACAAGAGUACAGAGGAGCUGAUGCCCUAACAACAUCACCAAGACAUCCAUGUUCCAUGACAGCAGGCGCAUAUGGGAAGGACCUCCAUGCCGUGCUAGGCACCAUAGCUGAGCUGCUCCGGUCCAGCCAGCCCUCUGGUUGUCUGUGUGCUGCUCUGUGACUGAGGGGAUUAAGCGCACUAACAAGCAAGGCCUCUCCGCGAACGAUCGGCAGCACCUACAAAACAGAGGUCCUCAUGCAUGGGUAUUAAGUCCAGAACAUUCUCUACCAGGGCAGUAAACAAGAGUUCUGAAAGGGGAAGGAAGCCUGGAGAAAGCCAGCUCCAUUAGUCACGCAGCUGCAUAUCCUGUCACAAAGGACCCCAGUUGAGUAAUCGCCCAAAAUAUGCCGGUUAUUUUUUUUCUGUCAGAAAAAAGGGGGCCUGCCAAAAUGUACUGUAAAAAAGGAAAAAAAUCUGGUCUCUCAGCACCAGAGGGGGAAAGGGAAAGAAAGAAGAAACAGACGGAGCUUCUCAGCACUCUCCUGACCCUCACCCAACUUAUCUUUUAAAGAAAAAGCUUUCAGACUCUUCACAGCAAUAAAGUGGGCUUGGAAAAAGCUGGUUCUGUGAGAUGGUCCCAGUAUCAGGGUCCUUACAGUUUCAUGGUGCUGAGACCUCAGAAAAAGGAGGAAUGGUAAGAAAAGGGGAGGAGAGGUACCCCAAGGGGAGAGGAAACAGGAACAGAAAGAGGACCAGAAUAUCAAGCAAGUCCUUUGAUGGACUGCAACUGGGUGAGCUAAUUGUCCCAUAGGGAACCCAUGGUAGCCCACACCAGUUCCACGAGUAUCCCAUAAGCCCAGCCAGUGGCCAAGCAUGCUUUGUAAGCUUCUCUGAUGGCCUCAGCAAAACCAUCGUUGCCUCAGGCCUCCACCAUGCCCCAGGCUGUGUGGGCCACAGAUGGAACAGGAAUGUAUGUGGAAGGACAUCGGGCUCUGGGGAAGUCUAAAGAGCAGGGGCUGGGGAAGGCCCAGAGCUUCCUGCUGUUUCAGGGGUUUCCCUGGAUUGGCUUUUCAAAACUCUCUGACAACAGGCUCUUGGUGGGGAAACAGAGGUACAGCAAACAAAGGUGUUCAAAAGCCCGGUUCAGUUGCUAUCUCUGUCCCAUGCUCUCAGUCACACAGCUCUCAGGACCAAGAUGCAAAGGACGGUCAGUCCAAGCACAGAGCCCUCUUGGAAAGUCGGUUUCCUUCCUGCUCACAUUCUGAGCCAGUCAGCGUUGUCUAGGGGCACAGGGGCUUUCUGAACCCAGCUAAUAAAAAAAAAAUCUUGGGAAGGUUUCUCCUUAUGAAGGAGAACAGAGCUCUACAAGCAAGGAAGAAGGCAGGUGCACUGUCCCUUUUGCUCUAGGCUCUCUGGAGCCUGUCCUAGAGGAGGGUGACCAGCCCACAGAGCCAGAAGGGAUGACCCUUUCCACAGGCACCUUCAAGAAUUCAGCUUCUUGCAAAUUCUUGGCCAAGGGAACUCCAACACCAAGGAUUACAGCAGUAAGGCCCAAUUUACCCAAAUCAGGACACAACCCAGCUCUUUGAAGCCUUUGGGCCCUGCCUACCCUGUCUGAGACACAGGUUUAAAGCCAGUCCUGAGCUUCAAGACCCAGUCCUGGCCGCUGCUUCCCUUGGGAGAGCUACUUGCCAUCUAAAGCUGUGCUUAAAAAGAGCCGUAGCAAUGUGCCUUCCUGCAAAGCCCAGCCCGUGGGCUGGAAAGGCAGAUUCUGCUGGUCGUGUUGUUGAUUUGCUGUGGAAUUUCAGGCAACUCAGGUGAACUCUCUGUGACUAGUUUUUCUCCUGUUAAGAUUUAUCAAUUAUUUAUCAGACCCUCUCAAUGCCAGCAACAUGCAAGAUACUGGGAAUUCAGUGGUGAGGGACACAGAUAUAGCCCUUUUCUUCAUGUGAAACUGAGACAAGCUUGCCCAUCGCUUCUGCGACACUUAAUUUCUUCAGUUUCCUGAAAUCAGCUCCUUGGGUGGCUGAGUUUGGGGGUUGAGGGAUGAAGUAGGAACAAAUACAACUAAAAAAAUAAAAAUAAACACACACAGCAAUUUUUUAAAAAGACACAAAACAACCAAAUAUUAGCACUAGCAUUUCCAAAAUGCUUACAAGAGGACAGUCCCUUAGCAACCCUGCUGUAAUGAAAAUUCUGCCAGUGCAUCUGGAAUCCACUCUGUUGGACAUUUUAGCUUAUUGGGAAACAAAAAGGACCAAGGCCACUUUAUGAUACACAAACUCUGUUAGCGUUAAUGCCCAUCACUUCGUUCACACCAAACCUGUCACUGGACUGCCUGUGGGGACUCCCCCCACUCAUCUCAGCAUCAGCUGCAGCCAGUAUGAGGGCGGCCAUCUUCCUCAGGGCUCAGCCCUUUCUCGAGGCCAUGGUCUGCACAUAAACCAUGAGCUGAAAUCGGAAACGUUAAAAGGAGUCUGUUGCCUACUGUUUCGGAGCUGACAGGCCUGGCACGCAAACACAGAAGAUCUGUUAUUAUCUCCCAGAUCACAGGUGAGUGAGGUCUCUGGAGGUGCCCAGCCCCACACAGAUUUCCCUUGUGGUAGCAAUGGCAUCUGAGUCACUGAGCAUGCAGCCACC